AAUGAAGUGCCUGAUAAAAAGGAUUAUUUUGAUAGAAUAAAACAUGUAAUUUAAUACCUUCAUUA
rnacentral:tRNA from 1 species